AACGAACGCUGGCGGCGUGCCUAACACAUGCAAGUCGAACGAAGCCUUCGGGCUUAGUGGCGCACGGGUGCGUAACGCGUGGGAAUCUGCCCUUGGGUUCGGAAUAACAGUUAGAAAUGACUGCUAAUACCGGAUGAUGUCUUCGGACCAAAGAUUUAUCGCCCAAGGAUGAGCCCGCGUAGGAUUAGGUAGUUGGUGGGGUAAUGGCCCACCAAGCCGACGAUCCUUAGCUGGUCCGAGAGGAUGAUCAGCCACACUGGGACUGAGACACGGCCCAGACUCCUACGGGAGGCAGCAGUGGGGAAUAUUGGACAAGGGGCGAAAGCCUGAUCCAGCAAUGCCGCGUGAGUGAUGAAGGCCUUAGGGUUGUAAAGCUCUUUUACCAGGGAUGAUAAUGACAGUACCUGGAGAAUAAGCUCCGGCUAACUCCGUGCCAGCCGCCGCAGUAAGAC
rnacentral:rRNA from 1 species